UGAGUACGAGCGGCUACGGCCGCGAAGUGGAUGAUGUCAAGCUUCCAAGAAAAGCCCUAUACCCGUUAAGGCAUGAUGGCCUGUACCCGAAACCGACACAGGUGGGGUGGUAGAGAAUACCGAGGGGCGCGAGGUAACUCUCUCUAAGGAACUCGGCAAAAUGGCCCCGUAACUUCGGGAGAAGGGGUGCCACCGCGAGGUGGUCGCAGUGAAGAGGCCCAGGCGACUGUUUACCAAAAACACAGGUCUCCGCUAAGUCGCAAGACGAUGUAUGGGGGCUGACGCCUGCCCAGUGCCGGAAGGUUAAGGAAGCUGGUCAGCGCAAGCGAAGCUGGCGACUGAAGCCCCGGUGAACGGCGGCCGUAACAAUAACGGUCCUAAGGUAGCGAAAUUCCUUGUCGGGUAAGUUCCGACCCGCACGAAAGGCGUAACGAUCUGGGCGCUGUCUCGGAGAGAGGCUCGGCGAAAUAGAAUUGUCUGUGAAGAUGCGGACUACGUGCACCCGGACAGAAAGACCCUAUGAAGCUUUACUGUAGCUUGGUAUUGUGCUCGGGCUCGGAAUGCGCAGGAUAGGUGGGAGGCUUUGAUCCAUUGCUUGCGGGUGAUGGUGAGCCACUGGUGAGAUACCACUCUUUCCGAGCUAGAGUUCUAACAGCAACCCGUUAUCCGGGUGCUGGACAGUAUCAGGUGGGCAGUUUGACUGGGGCGGUCGCCUCCUAAAAGGUAACGGAGGCGCGCAAAGGUCUGCUCAGGCUGGUUGGAAAUCAGCCGACGAGUGUAAAAGCAGAAGCAGGCUUGACUGUGAGACCUACAAGUCGAACAGGGAGGAAACUCGGCUUUAGUGAUCCGACGGUUCUGCGUGGAAGGGCCGUCGCUCAACGGAUAAAAGUUACUCUAAGGAUAACAGGCUGAUCUCCCCCAAGAGUUCACAUCGACGGGGAGGUUUGGCACCUCGAUGUCGGCUCAUCGCAACCUGGGGCUGAAGUCGGUCCCAAGGGUUGGGCUGUUCGCCCAUUAAAGCGGUACGCGAGCUGGGUUCAGAACGUCGUGAGACAGUUCGGUCCAUAUCCGGUGCACGCGCAGGAAUAUUGAGAGGAUUUCUCCCUAGUACGAGAGGACCGGGAGGAACGCACCUCUGGUGUGCCAGUUAUCGUGCCAACGGUAAACGCUGGGUAGUCAUGUGCGGAGUGGAUAACCGCUGAAAGCAUCUAAGUGGGAAGCCCACCUCAAGAUGAGUAUUCCCAUGGCAUAAGCCAGUAAGGUCACGGGAAGAACACCCGUUGAUAGGCUCUACGUGGAAGCGCAGUAAUGUGUGAAGCGGAGGAGUACUAAUAGACCGAGGGCUUGACC
rnacentral:rRNA from 1 species